rnacentral:tRNA from 1 species
GAUUCCGUGGUGUAGUGGUUAUCACGUCUGCCGAACACACAGAGGGUCCCCAGUUCGAGCCUGGUCGGAAUCA